rnacentral:rRNA from 1 species
GAUGAACGCUGACGGCGUGCUUAACACAUGCAAGUCGAACGAUGAAGCCCAGCUUGCUGGGUGGAUUAGUGGCGAACGGGUGAGUAACACGUGAGUAACCUGCCCUUAACUCUGGGAUAAGCCUGGGAAACUGGGUCUAAUACCGGAUAGGAGCGUCCACCGCAUGGUGGGUGUUGGAAAGAUUUAUCGGUUUUGGAUGGACUCGCGGCCUAUCAGCUUGUUGGUGAGGUAAUGGCUCACCAAGGCGACGACGGGUAGCCGGCCUGAGAGGGUGACCGGCCACACUGGGACUGAGACGCGGCCCAGACUCCUACGGGAGGCAGCAGUGGGGAAUAUUGCACAAUGGGCGCAAGCCUGAUGCAGCGACGCCGCGUGAGGGAUGACGGCCUUCGGGUUGUAAACCUCUUUCAGUAGGGAAGAAGCGAAAGUGACGGUACCUGCAGAAGAAGCACCGGCUAACUACGUG